rnacentral:misc_RNA from 1 species
UCUUUGCAACAAGUUUUGCAAAAGUUGCAUUUGAGUUCAUCAUGUAUUUUCUCCACAACAGUAAGAAGGUGAUUGUGACCAGGAUAUUCUAUUCGGGGCUUUAGUAAAGCACACUCAACAUCCAGCUGGAAAUCGCAUUUGUUACAGCGAAAGGCAAAGUCACAACAGUCCCUGAGACAUAAGGACAUAAGCGGCACCUUGCCUUUCUUGAUUUUUCACUCGUUACUCGUCUUUCCUUUGAAUUUAGAGAAGCCAAGGUGAGAGAGUGAGACAAAUGAGAGUUUCUGAUAGUU